rnacentral:rRNA from 1 species
UCUCAGUUCGGAUUGGAGUCUGCAACCCGACUCCAUGAAGCUGGAUUCGCUAGUAAUCGCGCAUCAGCCAUGGCGCGGUGAAUACGUUCCCGGGCCUUGUACACACCGCCCGUCAAGCCAUGGAAGCCGGGAGUGCCUGAAGUGCGUGAGCGUAAGCAGCGCCCUAAGGUAAAACCGGUGACUGGGGCUAAGUCGUAACAAGGUACC